rnacentral:rRNA from 1 species
GACGAACGCUGGCGGCGUGCCUAAUACAUGCAAGUCGAGCGAAGUUUUUCUGGUGCUUGCACUAGAAAAACUUAGCGGCGAACGGGUGAGUAACACGUAAAGAACCUGCCUCAUAGACUGGGACAACUAUUGGAAACGAUAGCUAAUACCGGAUAACAGCAUUAACUGCAUGGUUGAUGUUUGAAAGUUGGUUUUGCUAACACUAUGAGAUGGCUUUGCGGUGCAUUAGCUAGUUGGUGGGGUAAAGGCCUACCAAGGCGACGAUGCAUAGCCGACCUGAGAGGGUGAUCGGCCACACUGGGACUGAGACACGGCCCAGACUCCUACGGGAGGCAGCAGUAGGGAAUCUUCCGCAAUGGGCGAAAGCCUGACGGAGCAACGCCGCGUGAGUGAAGAAGGAUUUCGGUUCGUAAAGCUCUGUUGUUAGGGAAGAAUGAUUGUGUAGUAACUAUACAUAGUAGAGACGGUACCUAACCAGAAAGCCACGGCUAACUACGUGCCAGCAGCCGCGGUAAUACGUAGGUGGCAAGCGUUGUCCGGAAUUAUUGGGCGUAAAGCGCGCGCAGGUGGUUUAAUAAGUCUGAUGUGAAAGCCCACGGCUCAACCGUGGAGGGUCAUUGGAAACUGUUAAACUUGAGUGCAGGAGAGAAAAGUGGAAUUCCUAGUGUAGCGGUGAAAUGCGUAGAGAUUAGGAGGAACACCAGUGGCGAAGGCGGCUUUUUGGCCUGUAACUGACACUGAGGCGCGAAAGCGUGGGGAGCAAACAGG